GCCGGGGUGGUGGAAUAGGAAGACACGACGGACUUAAAAUCCGUUGGGCCGAGAGGCCCGUGCCGGUUCGAGUCCGGCCCUCGGCA
rnacentral:tRNA from 1 species